GUGGCCUGGUGGUUAGAGUGUCCGCCUCGGAUGCGGAAGGUCGAGGGUUCGAUCCCCAGUCAAAUCA